GACGAACGCUGGCGGCGUGCUUAACACAUGCAAGUCGAGCGGAGCGUCGAACGGGUGAGUAACGCGUUAGUAACUGCCCCCCUCUCUGGGAUAACAGUUGGAAACGGCUGCUAAUACCGGAUAGUGGGGGAUGACUCGCGUCCUAUCUGCUUGUUGGUGUGGUAGUGGCUUACCAAGGCGACGACGGGUAGCCGGCCCGAGAGGGCGACCGGCCACAUAGGGCUGUGAUAGGGGCCAAACUCAUACGGGAGGAAGCGGUGGGGAAUAUUGCACAAUGGGGCGAGCGAUGGUGCAGCAACGCCGCGUGCGGGAUGACUGCUUUCGGGUUGGAAACCGCUUUCAGCCAUGACGCGGUAGUGGCAGAAGAAGCAACGGCUAACUACGUGCCAGCAGCCGCGGUAAUUC
rnacentral:rRNA from 1 species